CAGAUUUUGUGUAAUGGAUUUAAACCCCAUUUAUAAAGGAUUAUCCUUUUUUUAGAA
rnacentral:tRNA from 1 species